UUUCAUUCAUCUCUUUCAAAUUUCUAACCAUAGCAGCCUUCCUUUCCUAAGAUACCCCACCCGGUAACACAAUACCCAAACAUACCCAAACUUUUACUAUACAAUAUUCAACCUCCCCUCACCACUAAUUCACUUACAGAUUUCCCUAAAAAACCUACUAUUUCGUGAUUUUUAGAUCUUAGAUUCGCAGAACCUAUUUAGCUCAUAUCAUUGAAUUUCUCUCCAAGCUUAAGUCUGACAAAUUCGAAAUCGACAUCAAUUGAUUGCUCUUGAUAAGAGCAGUCAAUUGAUGAUGAGUUCAAUUCCCAGUAUGACCGAUGAAUUUAAAACAGAGGCCUCUUUAGAUGCUGAUUUGCAAAGCAGAUUUGUAGAUGCCUUUGUAAAUUGAAGACUUGCUGACAGAUUGCAAAGCCACAGGAGCCCAGAUCAUGUAUCUGUUUUGAAAGCUAGUGUGAUCAUAACCUUAAUCUAGAAUUUGCUAGAAAAUCUUGUAAUUCAAGUUGUGUUAGAUAAUGUGUAUGAUUCACUAUUAAUUACCUUGUAAAUCACGUUAAGUUGAUAACUUACAUGAUUCAUGAUUAAUUAUUUUGGAAAUCGAAUUAAGUCCAACAAUCUAUAUGAUUCA